AUUCAGGGAACAGGGUUAUCAGAGACUCUGUCAUCUUUAGCAAGUUUAUUCUAAGGUUUCCUGUGUGUCCCUCCAGUCCAUUGUCUAGAGGAGCAUAAAGAGUCCUGAGGAGACCACGUGGGAGCUUUUUGCAGACAGGCUUGGUACCAGUGCUCAUUGCUGCUGCUCAAAAUCCCACCAGCUAGUAUUCAGUUACAUGGCUACACACUGGGUACCUGCAAAGGAGGAUGGGAAAUGUUGCCUGGCUGUAUGUCAGUGGAGAGAUGAAGAACUUGGAUUUUGUCUCAUCUGAUCAGAGGUGAUGCCUGGAGGGGCUUUCAAGUCAGAACCACCAGAUCAACUACUGAGAAUUCAAACUUAAAAGGAAAUUAAUUAUCAAUAAGGCACCACUGGCUGGGUGGAACUGAAUGCUUGCAAUCUGAACUCUGGGGGAAAAAGGAAAUCAGAGAGUGAUUAUUUUUGAAUGUGAACUUGAUUUGAGUAGCAGACACAGUGAAAAUACUUAUAAAAUGUGUCAUCAGUGCCAUCCCAGGAGGUUGCAAGACUGACCCCACUUCUGUGGUCAGUAUUCAUCCAUGCCUCAUAUACUUGGUCUGCAUUCUCAGGCCCUCAUCCUUGCCUUCCUGCCAAUCGCAGACCAGAGGUAAGCACUGUUGCAGCUGGUGAAGAUCCCCUCUGCUGUCAUUUAUGAGACAAGCAUGCUCCAAAGGAUGCUGGAAAAAGCCAAGCCAGGUUACAUUUCAGAGAAAAGUCAUUGCAAGGAUACAGUGCAUGCUGCGAUCUGGAAAUACCCCUGAAGAAAUCCACUUGAAAAACCUGCACUACUCUUGCUUCUUUGCCCCAGACUGUAAGAGAUUUCUGCACACAGGGUGUCAGAUGACUGGACGGAAGAAUGUCUGUCAUUGUCCUUGGGGAGCAGAGAGACCAUUUGUCCUUUCCUUAGCCGACCAAUGCACGGCUUUAGAACUCACCAGAGAGAACUGUGCCUCAACCAGCAUCCCUCUUCACUGAGGACUUCGGGAUCCUCUAUACUGGCACCAACCUUUUCACGUGCAGUCUUUUGCAUAUGCAGUUACUCUGGAGCCAUGGCUUAUCCAACUAUCUGUUCAUCCCCUUGUCUCUUGAGAGUUCACAUAAAGUGAAUGAGCAACCCCAUCUCUGCUAUGUUCAAGUAUCAGUAUUUUUCUCAAAGUCCCCUGAUGGUUA